rnacentral:lncRNA from 1 species
GAAAUUGUGUUGACGCAGUCUCCAGGCACCCUGUCUUUGUCUCCAGGGGAAAGAGCCACCCUCUCCUGCAGGGCCAGUCAGAGUGUUAGCAGCAGCUACUUAGCCUGGUACCAGCAGAAACCUGGCCAGGCUCCCAGGCUCCUCAUCUAUGGUGCAUCCAGCAGGGCCACUGGCAUCCCAGACAGGUUCAGUGGCAGUGGGUCUGGGACAGACUUCACUCUCACCAUCAGCAGACUGGAGCCUGAAGAUUUUGCAGUGUAUUACUGUCAGCAGUAUGGUAGCUCAUUUCGGCGGAGGGACCAAGGUGGAGAUCAAACGUAAGUGCACUUUCCUAAUGCUU